GCCUGAAGCUAGCCUGCAGUCUGACAAGCCUUUGGAUUAAUUGCACCCUCUCCUUGCUAGCAAAUGGGAGGAUUUUAAACAUCCUUUAAAGCUUUCUGAAGUUCUGGUUCUGCUGCAGAAUACUGUGAUUUUCGUGAUGUAAUUAGCGGUUGUUCAGGUUUGGGAUAAUUGGCAUCAGCCAGGGCUGGCUGCUCCCAGUUUGCUGAAGGCAUCCUCCUCCCCCUGGAGCCAGCACCAGCACAGUCAGGUGCACUGGACCUCAGUCGCACAACUGAAGUGGCCAAGAAGCAAGAACACUUCUGAGAAUGAAAAGAUGAUUCCCUCCCUCCAGAAUCUCACAUCAAGUGAAAAAUAAGCCUGUAUAAUUUGGCAGGAAUCACUGUAAUCACAGAGUUUCAGCAACUGAGUUUGUAUCAAGUGACUUUUAUGCCACUUCCUGAGGAGAAGAGAGUGCCUGUGACAUAUCAGCAAUUUACCUGACACCCUUGAGACUUAUGAGCAUUCCUAAUUCUCCCAGAAAGCUCAGAACAAGUCAUUUUGAAUUUUGACGCUUAAAAUAAUUCCUAGGGUUGAGUGAAAUUCAUGCCUUCACCAAAAAAAUAAAAAUUAAAAAAAAAAAAAAUAAAAAAAUUGU
rnacentral:lncRNA from 1 species